UGGGGCCUACGGGGCGCAGCAGUGGGGAAUAUUGCACAAUGGGGGGAACCCUGAUGCAGCGACGCCGCGUGAGUGAAGAAGUAUUUCGGUAUGUAAAGCUCUAUCAGCAGGGAAGAAGAUGACGGUACCUGACUAAGAAGCCCCGGCUAACUACGUGCCAGCAGCCGCGGUAAUACGUAGGGGGCAAGCGUUAUCCGGAUUUACUGGGUGUAGAGGGAGCGUAGACGGCGAUGCAAGUCUGAAGUGAAAGCCCGGGGCUCAACCCCGGGACUGCUUUGGAAACUGUAUGGCUGGAGUGCUGGAGG
rnacentral:rRNA from 1 species